CUGUCCAUGGAGGCAAACCUUGCAUCCGUCCAUAAUUAUGAGGAAUCUGUUUAUAUUAAUGGCCUGAUAUCAGCUUCAGGUGAUGGGUAUGCAGAGGUAUGGAUUGGAGCCACUGAUGCACAGGAGGAUAAUAUUUGGUUCUGGAGUGAUGGCAGCAAAUUCCAGGAUGCAAACUGGUGUAAUAACCAGCCGAACAACUUUAAUGGAAAUCAAAAGUGUGUGAUAAUGAAUCAUGGAGCAUCCUCCUGCUGGGGGGAUAGGAGGUGUACUUUGACUAGACCAUAUGUAUGUGUCAAAAAAAACUGCUGACUUCACUGUUCCUGAAGAAUUGAAAACCACAAUCAUCAUAGG